rnacentral:tRNA from 3 species
GCAACCUUAGUGUAGUGGUUAUCACGUUCGCCUAACACGCGGAAGGGCCCCAGUUCGAACCUGGGAGGUCGCA